GUACUCGCUUCGGCAGCACAUACACUAAAAUUGGAACGAUACAGAGAAAAUUAGCAUGGCCCCUGCACAAGGAUGACAGGCAAUUUCAUGAAGUGUUCCAUAUUUUU